rnacentral:rRNA from 1 species
GAUGAACGCUAGCGGCAGGCCUAACACAUGCAAGUCGAGGGGUAGAGGAAGCCUGCUUCCUUGAGACCGGCGCACGGGUGCGUAACGCGUAUGCAAUCUACCUUAUACAGGGGAAUAGCCCAGAGAAAUUUGGAUUAAUGCCCCAUAGUGUUAUUGAAUCGCAUGGUUUAGUAACUAAAGUUCCAACGGUAUAAGAUGAGCAUGCGUCCCAUUAGUUAGUUGGUAAGGUAACGGCUUACCAAGACAAUGAUGGGUAGGGGUCCUGAGAGGGAGAUCCCCCACACUGGUACUGAGACACGGACCAGACUCCUACGGGAGGCAGCAGUGAGGAAUGUUGGACAAUGGGCGCAAGCCUGAUCCAGCCAUGCCGCGUGCAGGAAUAAGGUCCUAUGGAUUGUAAACUGCUUUUUAUACAGGAAGAAACACACCCUCGUGAGGGUACUUGACGGUACUGUAUGAAUAAGGACCGGCUAACUCCGUGCCAGCAGCCGCGGUAAAG